rnacentral:rRNA from 1 species
CCUACGGGAGGCAGCAGUGAGGAAUAUUGGUCAAUGGGAGAGAUCCUGAACCAGCCAAGCCGCGUGAGGGAAGACGGCCCUAUGGGUUGUAAACCUCUUUUGUCGGAGAACAAAACCCGGGACGUGUCCCGGACUGCGUGUAUCCGAAGAAAAAGCAUCGGCUAACUCCGUGCCAGCAGCCGCGGUAAUACGGAGGAUGCGAGCGUUAUCCGGAUGUAUUGGGUUUAAAGGGUGCGUAGGCGGUCCGUUAAGUCAGCGGUAAAAUUGCGGGGCUCAACCCCGUCGAGCCGUUGAAACUGGCAGACGUGAUUUGGCGAGAAGUACGCGGAAGGCGCGGUGUAGCGGUGAAAUGCGUAGAUAUUAGGAGGAACACCAGUGGCGAAGGCGGCCUGCUGGGCUUUUACUGACGCUGAGGCUCGAAAGCGUGGGUAGCAAACAGGAUUAGAUACCCCAGUAGUC